rnacentral:rRNA from 1 species
AGCGAACGCUGGCGGCAGGCCUAACACAUGCAAGUCGAACGAACCUUUCGGGGUUAGUGGCUGACGGGUGAGUAACACGUGGGAACGUGCCUUUAGGUUCGGAAUAACUCAGGGAAACUUGUGCUAAUACCGAAUGUGCCCUUCGGGGGAAAGAUUAAUCGCCGUUAGAGCGGCCCGCGUCUGUUUAGCUAGUUGGUUGAGGUAAUGGCUCACCAAGGCGACGAUCAGUAGCUGGUCUGAGAGGAUGAUCAGCCACAUUGGGACUGAGACACGGCCCAAACUCCUACGGGAGGCAGCAGUGGGGAAUCUUGCGAAAUGGGCGAAAGCCUGACGCAGCCAUGCCGCGUGAAUGAUGAAGGUCUUAGGAAUGUAAAAUUCUUUCACCGGGGACGAUAAUGACGGUACCCGGAGAAGAAGCCCCGGCUAACUUCGUG